GUGCUACCAUGCAGUCGAACGAUGAUGCCCAGCUUGCUGGGCGGAUUAGUGGCGAACGGGUGAGUAAUACGUGAGUAACCUGCCCUUGACUCUGGGAUAAGCCUGGGAAACUGGGUCUAAUACUGGAUACUACCUCUUGCCGCAUGGUGGGUGGUGGAAAGGGUUUUACUGGUUUUGGAUGGGCUCACGGCCUAUCAGCUUGUUGGUGGGGUAAUGGCUCACCAAGGCGACGACGGGUAGCCGGCCUGAGAGGGUGACCGGCCACACUGGGACUGAGACACGGCCCAGACUCCUACGGGAGGCAGCAGUGGGGAAUAUUGCACAAUGGGCGGAAGCCUGAUGCAGCGACGCCGCGUGAGGGAUGACGGCCUUCGGGUUGUAAACCUCUUUCAGUAGGGAAGAAGCGAGAGUGACGGUACCUGCAGAAGAAGCGCCGGCUAACUACGUGCCAGCAGCCGCGGUAAUACGUAGGGCGCAAGCGUUGUCCGGAAUUAUUGGGCGUAAAGAGCUCGUAGGCGGUUUGUCGCGUCUGCUGUGAAAGCCCGGGGCUCAACCCCGGGUCUGCAGUGGGUACGGGCAGACUAGAGUGCAGUAGGGGAGACUGGAAUUCCUGGUGUAGCGGUGAAAUGCGCAGAUAUCAGGAGGAACACCGAUGGCGAAGGCAGGUCUCUGGGCUGUUACUGACGCUGAGGAGCGAAAGCAUGGGGAGCGAACAGGAUUAGAUACCCUGGUAGUCCAUGCCGUAAACGUUGGGCACUAGGUGUGGGGGACAUUCCACGUUUUCCGCGCCGUAGCUAACGCAUUAAGUGCCCCGCCUGGGGAGUACGGCCGCAAGGCUAAAACUCAAAGGAAUUGACGGGGGCCCGCACAAGCGGCGGAGCAUGCGGAUUAAUUCGAUGCAACGCGAAGAACCUUACCAAGGCUUGACAUUCACCGGACCGCCCCAGAGAUGGGGUUUCCCUUCGGGGCUGGUGGACAGGUGGUGCAUGGUUGUCGUCAGCUCGUGUCGUGAGAUGUUGGGUUAAGUCCCGCAACGAGCGCAACCCUCGUUCUAUGUUGCCAGCACGUGAUGGUGGGGACUCAUAGGAGACUGCCGGGGUCAACUCGGAGGAAGGUGGGGAUGACGUCAAAUCAUCAUGCCCCUUAUGUCUUGGGCUUCACGCAUGCUACAAUGGCCGGUACAAAGGGUUGCGAUACUGUGAGGUGGAGCUAAUCCCAAAAAGCCGGUCUCAGUUCGGAUUGAGGUCUGCAACUCGACCUCAUGAAGUCGGAGUCGCUAGUAAUCGCAGAUCAGCAACGCUGCGGUGAAUACGUUCCCGGGCCUUGUACACACCGCCCGUCAAGUCACGAAAGUUGGUAACACCCGAAGCCGGUGGCCUAACCCCUUGUGGGAGGGAGCCGUUGAA
rnacentral:rRNA from 1 species